rnacentral:rRNA from 1 species
UACGUAGGGUGCGAGCGUUAAUCGGAAUUACUGGGCGUAAAGCGUGCGCAGGCGGUUCUGAAAGUCAGCUGUGAAAGCCCCGGGCUUAACCUGGGAAUUGCGGUUGAAACUACAGGGCUAGAAUCUGGGCAGAGGGGGGUGGAAUUCCACGUGUAGCAGUGAAAUGCGUAGAGAUGUGGAGGAACACCGAUGGCCGGAAGGCAGCCCCCUGGGCUGAGAUUGACGCUCAGGCACGGAAAGCGUGGGGAGCAAACACGGA